rnacentral:lncRNA from 1 species
GCUCGAUGUCGGCGUUGUUUGAAGGUUCCCGAUCGUCGCUAUGCUGAUUCACCCUUAGGGACUGGAGAUUUUCAACAAGGGUUUUCUUCUUCGUUGAGACGAGGUCCCUUGAGUCUUUGAUGUAGAUCGUUUUCACUUAUCGCUGGUGUAGUUCGUUGCUUUCUCUUUUUAUCUCUCCUUCUCUUCUAUGUUCGAGUGAGGGUCUUCCCUCUGCUCUUGACGGGGUAGUGAGAGUACAGAGGGGCCAUUGAGGAGGCUUUCCUCCUUGUCCGAUCUUGAUCGAUCGAGCCUUUGUUUGCAUCAGGAUGAGGUUCUCCUCUUGUUCCCAACA